GCCAGCCGCCGCGGUAAUACGAAGGGGACCUAGCGUAGUUCGGAAUUACUGGGCUUAAAGAGCUCGUAGGUGGUUAAAAAAGUUGAUGGUGAAAUCCCAAGGCUCAACCUUGGAACUGCCAUCAAAACUUUUUAGCUAGAGUGUGAUAGAGGUAAGUGGAAUUUCUAGUGUAGAGGUGAAAUUCGUAGAUAUUAGAAAGAACACCAAAUGCGAAGGCAACUUACUGGGUCACUACUGACACUGAGGAGCGAAAGCAUGGGUAGCGAAGAGGAUUAGAUACCCUCGUAGUCCAUGCCGUAAACGAUGUGUGCUAGACGUUGGAAAUAUAUUUUUCAGUGUCGCAGCGAAAGCAUUAAGCACACCGCCUGGGGAGUACGACCGCAAGGUUAAAACUCAAAUGAAUUGACGGGGACCCGCACAAGCAGUGGAGCAUGUGGUUUAAUUCGAAGAUACGCGCAGAACCUUACCAACACUUGACAUGUUCGUCGCGAGACUAAGAGAUUAGUCUUUUCAGUUCGGCUGGACGAAACACAGGUGCUGCAUGGCUGUCGUCAGCUCGUGUCGUGAGAUGUUGGGGUUAAGUCCCCGCAACGAGCGCAACCCCUACUUUUAGUUGCCACCAUUCAGUUGGGCACUUUAAAAGAACUGCCAGUGAUAAGCUGGAGGAAGGGUGGGGGAUGACGUCAAGUCCUCAUGGCCCUUAUGUGUUGGGCUACACACGUGCUACAAUGG
rnacentral:rRNA from 1 species